UUUUCACACAAAGAACGCCUGAACAUGUCAAACUGGCUUCAUAGUAGAACCAUCAUUGUAAAAACGUCACAGUAUGGUGUGUUGCUCAAAAAACAUUACGACUCGGCUGUCUAGUGUCGCCGAGGAGCAACACAAAAACAGGACAAACGCUGGUUUCCUGGGGGUUAGGUGGCUAUUUAUUUUAAAGAGUAAGUUUACAACAACACAACAUGUGAGCAGAAAAAUCACAAAAUCUGUCUUUAGUUCAGCUGAAAAUAUUAGUUUUUGUCUUUUUUAUUGACCAAACUUUUCAGGAAGUAGAUGAAGAAUAAUUAAAGCUCUCAUGUAGAAGUCCAACUUAUUUUGGAUCCUUGUGGAGAGUUUAAUCUUAGAGUUUGUAAAGCUGUUGAGUUUUUAGAGUCACAUGGAUUGUUUUGACAUUUAAUAACCGAGUCCUGAAAUAAAAUUACAGUUGUGGAUUUCUGUCAUUUAGUCUGGACUAAAAAAAUAACAGCAGCAUAAAUCUCAAACGUCUUUAUGAGGAGUCUGGAUUGAGGUUUCUCACUUGAUAAUGAUCAAAACAUGAAAUUUAGGUUGGUUUAAAGGAAUAUUCCACCUUAAAUCUUUGAAUGUUGACCGAAAAGGUUGGUUUCAGGAAGUAUCCCACCUACAAGGUCCUCAAACUUCCACCUUAAAGGAACAUUCCACCAAAAAUCCUUGGACAUGCACCUAAAAUGUUGGUUUUACCGAGAAUUCCAUCCAAAAUCCUCAAAGAGACCUGAGGGGCUGGUUAAAAGGAAUAUUCCACCUAAAACCUCAAAUAUAGACCCGAAAGGGUGGUUUAGAAAAAAUCCUUCAAUGUAGAUCAAAAAAGUUAGUAUGGAGGAAUAUUCCACCUGAAAUGUAGACCUGAGAAGUUGGUUCAGAAGAAUAUACCAUCCUAAACAUCCUUAAAUGUAGACUAAAAGACAGUUUGGAAGAAAAUUCCACCUAAAAUCCUCCAAUGUAAACCUAAAAGGUGAGUUUAACGGUAUAUCCCACCUAAAAUUCACUACUGUAGACCUUGGAGGUUGGUCUGAUGGUAUAUUCCACCCAACAUCCUUGAACAUAAACUUAAAAAGUUCGUUCAACGGAAUAUUCCACCUAAAAUCUUUCAAUGUAGACCAAAAAAUCUUGGUGUAAAGGAGUAUUCCACCUUAAAUGUAGACCUAAAGGAUGGUUUGGAGUAAUAUUCUACUCUAAAAUCUUCCAAUGUAGACCUAAAAGGUUGAUCUGAUGGUAUAUUCUACUCAACAUCCUGGAACAUUUACCUAAAAGGUUGGUUUAAUGGUAUAUUCCCAGCAGAACCCUUGAACAUCAGGCUUAAUGGUAUAUUCCACCCAAAAUACUUGUACAUAUACCAAGAAGUCAGUUUAAAGGAAAUGUAGACCUAAAAGGAUUGUUUAAAGGAAUAUUUAAACGAUUAUUUUCAUUAUUUAAUAAUCUGUUAUCAGUCAGAACCCUGGCAAACUUAUUUUCAUCAGUUUUCUUAGUGGAAGUCACAAAUAAAGGACCUCUUGUUUUUUACCAGCGUUACUGAGUCAAAAGCUGCUGUUUCAACACAGACACGUUCACAUGCAUCCUCAAACCUCUCAGCACUCAAACACCCACAGACAGGAGGCCGGCUGGGCCGAGGCUCGGCAGCGUCCUCAGACCCACGAGUCGGUGAACUUGUUGGUCCAGUUUGAAGGCCUCCGUGUGGUCCAGUAGAAGUCCACGUAGUCGGUGUUGGCUUUGAACCGCAGCGAUUGGCCGGCAUCAGGUGGACCGGCUCGUCCUCGUAGGGCUCCUUCUGUAGCCUUGAGGGAACCACAGGAACAUUCAGUAGCUGUUGGAGUUCUUCCUGUCAGGCUCGUGGUAGAACGGCUCUGAAGUAUCUUGUACUUGUCUUAUCUGGAACAAUCUAACAGUCUAAACUGUUAACAGCGAUGUAAAGAAGCAAACACACAGGCAUAGAUUAGGACUCAAACUAGAUUUAUUUUAGAAAACAAAUCAGCUUAGAGGCAUUUGUUCACACAUGUGGCUGAAUAGGAGGCCGUCCAAUCAGAUUUGAGGUCUUCACUCUGUAGGUUGUUUGUUUGAUGACACUCUUGGACCUCCAUCAGCUGAUGUGGAUGUCUGAUGGUCUUCCUCUCUAGUGCCAGAUGAUUCAUCCAUGAAUUCAGCAGCUACAGACUGAAAUGAAGCUCAUACUGCCGUUACUGAAUUCCUGUUCCAGAUCAAAUGUUCAGAGCUCACCUUGAAUGCAGCCGUCUGCUGUCUGAUAGUUUUUCUCAUUGUAGUCUUCAAUAAAGUCUUUUUCCUCAUGUCAGGAUGUGGUGAGACUCUUUCUCAGUCUCUGCAGAUGUCCCUCAUUGUGCAUCUCCAGAGAAGAAACAGAAAAACUGGUCACUGCUUCAGCAUCACAAACACUCUCCAGCAUUGAGAGUGUUUUAGGAAUUCAUUCAUUGUGUUGUGAUCUUUGAAGGAGCAGAAACUUUACAGUUGCCAAAGAUAUGAGCUCCAAUUCUGGAUGUUUUAGGAAAUCAAGUUCAUCAAAUGAACACUUGAUUUUUGCUGAUAACUCAUUAAAUUACUGAAGAAAUCUAACAUAAAAACCUGUAAACUCUCAGGCAGCUUUUGUUAAAGUUUGUCCAUAAUUUUAUCAUCAUGUUCUGGAACCAGGACUCUGCAGAAGUUCCUUCAAACAGAUACUUGUGUGUUUCUAUUUAAGGCCUCAGGUUUGAACGUACAGCAGAGGAUUAGAAAGGAGUGAUUUUAAUAUUUAAAUCAGUCCAGUAAAUGUUUGGCGUGAAAAUUAUUAAAAUUUUGAUUUAGAUAGAUUUGUGUCAAAUAAUAUUGUAGAGUCUCACUUAAAUAUAUCCAAAUGAGUUCAGUGUAUUUACAUUUUAUAGAAUAUUUGAUUUCUUAAUCUCAAUACUGUAAGGUCUGACCCUAAAUAUUAUAAUGAUGUCAAUUUAAAUAAUAUUUUAGUGCAGAGUAAACUUUAAUCAGCUAAACUUGCAUAAUAAAUAUCACUGUACAAUCUUAACCUGAACAUUCAUAUUAUUGAGGAAAUGUACAUAAAUCAUGAUAUUCUAGAGUCUUAACUGGAAUAUUUCUAAUAUUAAUCUUUUUGUAUUGUGCUGAUAAACAACAAUAACCCGACUUUCAGAUAAUAUUUGCUGUCUGUGAUUGUGAGACUAAAUUCCUCCACAUUCUGGAACUGGACUGCAUUUCCCAAAAUGGAAACAUGGACAGAACUUAACACUCAUGUAUCCAUGGCAACGCAAAAGUUUCUGCUUCUUACCAAAGUUCACAACACAAGUAAAGAUUUUAAUGUAAAACUUCAGGGAUGACUGCUGACCAUAAGUAUUCUGAUCAAUACUUCAUGAUCAACAUCAGGACAGAUGUUACAACUCCAGCUGUUGCAUUAGACUGCAGUUAUUCACAGAGAAAUUAAAACAUCACAUUCCUCAUAAAAACUAGAUGGGACUUUUAUUAAAUAAAGUGUUGGUGAAUAAACAGUGUAAAAAGUGCAAAGCAGCUCCAUUAAAUCAGGAGAUGUGAGACUUCCACAGCAUGGAUCACCAUCUGCUGUGUUGAUUCAUAGCUGAAUGUCAGAAUGAACUGAGAUAGAAAAGCUGCUUUGAGCUGCAACAUUACGGUCUGACAAUCCAACACCAUCACAGUUUUCAUCUGGUUGUUUUGCUCCAAAAUGCUGUGAAGUUCAGUUUUUACCUGAAUCAAUACAGAGAUUCUAUUUCCAACCAAGACUGGAAUAAAAAUUAAAAUGUUAUGAGGUUAUUAAUGCAACUAAAUCCUUUCAGAUGGAAGGAUUUACUUCUAAGUUCUAAUUCAAGUUUCAGUUGGAGCACAUUGCAUUCACAAAGAAAAACAGCGAUACCUUCAUAGCAACAUUUAAUAAACCUAAAGCUUCCCUGUUGGUUCAUUGGUGGAGUUUGUUACUGAGCAUCUGAACCUUAAAUCCAGUGAGAGGACCAUCUUCAGUCCAGGCCAGUCAGAGAACUUCAAGACCUUCCAUCAGCUGGACCAGAUGUGGCACCAUCUCCCUCUGAACAUCUGGAUGACAGGAGAAAAGACAGAAAUCAAACACAGAUCACAGAAAUACAAUUUAUUCACUUUCAUUGUUUUAUAAAAGCAGCAUGAACUUUAAAACUUGAAAUCAGUGAUGAAAGCAAAUGUUUUUAUCUCGUGUUGAAGCUAAAUUUAAAGUCAAUUUUAAUGACAGUUUAUCCUGAGAGGAGUGAGAAUGGAGCUUUUCUUUCCUUUUUAGAAUAUUCCCUCAAAAUACUCUGUUUAUUAUUGGCUUUAGAAGCAUUUUUCUUUACUCAAUACACCUCAAUAUACCUCAGACUGAUGCACUUUGCUGGUUUGCAGAUAAUUUCAUGUACAAUGACAACAAAGAUCUUCUAUAAUAACAUAUUUUGCUAAAACAAGAACUGCAAACCUUCUCAACCAUCUCUCAGGCUGCAAAAUUCCAACUGCGACCAAGAAUUAUCUGAUGUAGUUAUUAUUAUAAUCUUUACUGAACCAGCCCUGGAAUUAAUAAAAAUCUGUAUAUGGAUAUGAUUUUCUCUGAUGGGACCACUAUGGAAGCCAUAGUAAUUAUUAACUAUCCUUUGAAGGGAAAGAUUAGGUCUUCAUUCAGGUGGAUAAAAAAAAUGCUCUCCCUUAAAAAACAAAAAAAUGCAUACAAUAAAGUAAAUCUCUUCUGCACUGCACACAUACUACACUUUUGUAUAACUCUGGAUGUCAGAGUAAAGGCAGACAGAUCCACUGAUCAGCCACAACAUUCUGACCACUGACUGCUGAAGAGAACAACAUCCAUCAUCUUGUUCUAAUGCAACGUUCUGCUGGGAAACCUUGACGUUCAUGUGGAUGUUUGACAUGUACCACCACCUAAACACUGCAGGACAAACAACCCCCUAGUCUCCAUGGCAACAGCAGUCCUUGAUGCCAGCUGCCACCCUCAGCAGGACAAACUAAAACUGCUCAGGAGUGGUCCGAGGAACACGACAGAGCUAAGCUGUUCACCUGGGUUCCACACUCCCCACAUCCACAUCUGAUGGAGUAUCUGUGGGAUGGUCCAGGAUCAGCCUGGUCUAGAUGGCAUUACCCUCAUGAAUGGAGCAUCAACAAGUGACGUCUACAACACAACAGAAAUGUCUGGAAGCCAGUGGCCACCACUUUGAGCACCUCUUGUAAUUGUAGAGGCCAAAGAUAACUUUUAUUAAUCUCAUGAUGUCUGAAUAAAUUUGGU
ensembl:lncRNA